rnacentral:tRNA from 1 species
GCCCAGGUGGCGGAACUGGCAGACGCACUAGCUUCAGGAGCUAGCGGGUUCACCCCCAUGGAGGUUCAAAUCCUCUCCUGGGCA